CACGCAUCCCCUCUCAUCCUUACAUCUGAUUGUGGGCACGACCUCCCGAUCAAAAGCCUCCCAAUGUGACCCAGGGUUAAGCAGCCCAGGGUUAGAGUGAUUAGGGUUUUACCCAGGGUUACGCCACAGUGGUUACCAAUGGUUAAGUUUAGGGCCAGGGUGGGUAUAGCCACCGGGGUUACUAACGGGUAGGUUUAGAGCCAGGGUGUGUAUAGCCAUAGGAGUUACUAACUGGUAGGUUUAGGGCCAGGGUUGGUUAGGGUUAGGGUUAGGGUUAGGGUUAGGUUAGGUUAGGUUAGGGUUAGGUUAUAUAGAUAAAUGCGAAGAGUGGUCACUUAUGAAGUGGUCGACCCCCCCAUAUCUCGUGACCCGUACGUGCUAGAGUGCUCAAACUUGGUUUAUUAUACUCCUUGUGGCCCCCCCAGUCGAUUACCCUUGGUUUCGUUGCUCUAGCGCCACCAGGUGCUGAGAUAUGGUAUUGAUCGUUCAGUUCUGUUGUACCUAGAGAGCUGAAAUUUGGUGUGUAUACUAAUUGGAUGAUGCCCAGUCGAUUGCACUAGCUCCACCAGGUGCCGAGAUAUAGCAUUGAUCACUUACUUGAGUUUCGCAGUUCUAGGGCUAGGGUUGAGUUUCACAGUUCCAGCCCUAGGGUUAAGUUUCAGUGUGCUAGGGCUAGUGUUCAGUUUCUCUAUACAGCUGAUCAGCCCUAGGGUUGAGUUUCUCUAUACAGCUGUUUUUAGUGUUUUGGGUGGGUUUGACUUAGUCAUAUAAGCUGGUUUGGACUUAGUCAUAUUGUUUGGACUUAGUGUUUUGUGUGGGUUGGACUUAGUCAUAUAAGCUGGUUGGGACUUA
ensembl:lncRNA